UACGAGGAGAGCAAGUGUUAUCCGUCGUGAUUGGGCGUAAAGCGCCGUAUAGGUGGAAUAUAGUUGUACUUGAAUAAAAUACUGUGGGUAAAUCAUAGGAAUUUAAGAUAUACAUAUAUUCUCGAGAUAAAAUCAGGUUUGUAGAGUAUCCUAAUGAGAUUUAAAAGUCAUAUAAGUUGGAUAAAAUGCCAUAUUGGUGAAGGCUUCUUUCUAGAUUUAUCUGACGCUGGUUGGCGAAAGUAUGGGGAGCAAAAAGG
rnacentral:rRNA from 1 species